rnacentral:rRNA from 1 species
AUUGAACGCUGGUGGCAGGCUUAACACAUGCAAGUCGAGCGGCAGCAAGCCUUCGGGCGUUGGCGAGCGGCGGACGGGUGAGUAAUGCAUAGGAAUCUGCCUGGUAGUGGGGGGAUAGCCCGGGGAAACUCGGAUUAAUACCGCAUACGCCCUACGGGGGAAAGGAGGGGAUCUUCGGACCUUUCGCUAUCAGAUGAGCCUAUGUCGGAUUAGCUAGUUGGUGAGGUAAAGGCUCACCAAGGCGACGAUCCGUAACUGGUCUGAGAGGAUGAUCAGUCACACUGGAACUGAGACACGGUCCAGACUCCUACGGGAGGCAGCAGUGGGGAAUAUUGGACAAUGGGGGAAACCCUGAUCCAGCCAUGCCGCGUGUGCGAUGAAGGCC